rnacentral:tRNA from 1 species
UAGAACACAACCUUGCCAUGGUUGGGGUCGCGAGUUCGAAUCUCGUCGUUCGCU